CAAUAGCGUAUAUUAAAGUUGUUGCAGUUAAAAAGCUCGUAGUUGGACCUUGGACCUGGACAGGCGGUCCGCCUCACGGCGUGUACUGUCUUGCUGGGUCUUUCCUCUUGGUGAUCUGUUGUUUCGGCAGCAGGGAACCAGGACUUUUACUUUGAAAAAAUUAGAGUGUUCAAAGCAGGCUCGACGCCGGAAUAUGUUAGCAUGGAAUAAUAAAAUAGGACGUGCGGUUCUAUUUUGUUGGUUUUUGGAAUCGCCGUAAUGAUUAAUAGGGACAGUCGGGGGCAUUAGUACUCACAUGCUAGAGGUGAAAUUCUUGGAUUUUGUGAAGACUAACUUCUGCGAAAGCAUUUGCCAAGGAUGUUUUCAUUAA
rnacentral:rRNA from 1 species